GACGAACGCUGGCGGCGUGCUUAACACAUGCAAGUCGAACGGUGAAGCGCCUUCCUUUUUGGUUGGUGUGGUUGAGUGGCGAACGGGUGAGUAACACGUUAGUAACCUGCCCCCUUCUUCUGGAUAACCGCAUUAAAGUUUGGCUAAUACGUGAUAUUCUGGGUCUUUCGCUUGUUGGGUCUGGGUAAGAUUUUGUUUCUGUGGGGGAUGGGCUCGGGGCCUAUCAGCUUGUUGUGGGGUUGAUGGCCUACCACGGCGGUGACGGGUAGCCGGCCUGAGAGGGUGGACGGUCAGACAGGGAGAGAGACAAGGCGAAGACUGAUACGGGAGGCAGCAGUGGGGAAUAUUGCACAAUGGGGGAAAGGAUGAUGCAGCGACGAGGCGUGAGGGAUGGAGGCCUUCGGGUUGUGAACCUCUUUGGCCAGUGAAGCAGGCCUGCCUCGUUUGUGGGUGGGUUGACGGUAGCUGGAUAAGAAGCGCCGGCUAACUACGUG
rnacentral:rRNA from 1 species